rnacentral:rRNA from 1 species
UACGGGGGGGGCAAGCGUUGUUCGGAAUUACUGGGCGUAAAGGGCUCGUAGGUGGCCAACUAAGUCAUACGUGAAAUCCCUCGGCUUAACCGGGGAACUGCGUCUGAUACUGGAUGGCUAGAGGUUGGGAGAGGGAUGCGGAAUUCCAGGUGUAGCGGUGAAAUGCGUAGAUAUCUGGAGGAACACCGGUGGCGAAGGCGGCAUCCUGGACCAAUUCUGACGCUGAGGAGCGAAAGCCAGGGGAGCAAACGGG